rnacentral:rRNA from 1 species
GAUUAACGCUGGCGGCGUGCAUAACACAUUCAAGUCGAACGGUGACGGGGCUUCGGCCCCUGAUCAGUGGUGGACGGGUGAGUAACGCGUGAGCAAUCUACCUUCCAGUACGGGAUAGCAACCGGAAACAGUUGCUAAUACCGUAUGAAAUGGCAACAUCGCAUGGUGCAACCAUCAAAGACUUAUUGCUGGAAGAUGAGCUUGCGUCCGAUUAGAUGGUUGGCGGGGUAACGGCCCACCAAGUCGACGAUCGGUAGCCGGACUGAGAGGUUGAACGGCCACAUUGGAACUGAGAUACGGUCCAGACUCCUACGGGAGGCAGCAGUGGGGAAUAUUGGGCAAUGGGCGAAAGCCUGACCCAGCGACGCCGCGUGAGGGAAGAAGAUCUUCGGAUUGUAAACCUUAGUCAACAGGGAAGAAGAAAGUGACGGUACCUGUGGAGGAAGCCACGGCUAACUACGUGCCAGCCGCCGCAGUAACAC